rnacentral:lncRNA from 1 species
AUGACUGUGUGUGUGUGUGUGUGUGUGAGCGUCUCAAUGUGCCAUGCUAAUUUUGCACACUAUCUUAACCUAUGUAUUGAUGAUCGCUCUGCCUCACCUUCUGUGUUAAACUAUCUUUGUGCUGACAUUAAGACAAAAUACUGUGGAAUUACAUCAGUAUAUGAGUGUGUGUGUUGGUGUAUAUACUAGUAUGGAGAAAAGUAAACGUGGAUCUUGUUUCAAGUCAUCUUUGUAGUUUUUGUUUGUGUGUAAAUCUCAUUAAUUUAGCGCAUGCAUAGGGCUAUAUAUCUGCAAUCACUCCACUGCAAUUCAGUAGUUUUACAAUAGCUGUCCUUUCAGGUGUACAGCAUGCAUAAAACAGCUUUUUAAAUACAAGUUCAAAAGGGAGUGAAAACAUCUAAACAUACAAAAAGUACUUGUACUAUAGUUCAGUUGGAUAUCAGAUGGCAAUGAUUUCUGUAUGUCAAAAGAUACUAUUUUACCAUGCUAUGUCCAAAAAAACAUGGUUCUUUCUUGUUAGACAGUAAACCUCUUUGUUUGCAUUUAAAUGAUUUAUUUUCUUAAUUUUAUCAAUAACACGUCAGAUUUGCUUUUACCUUGUAGAGAACCUGAACAAUUUACAAAGUCCCCUCAGAACAUUAAAAUGUUCAUUUUAAUUUGUCUUAAUUGAUCUGAGGCUUUAAGCUACUGUUCCCAAAAUAUGGUGAUUUUAUUUAAAAUGUUGUGAUUUUAUUAAAAUAUUUUAUUUUUAAAAAAGUGCUAUUCUAACUUUGGGUUUGUGUGGAAAAAUAUUGUUGGACCUAACUUGUGAUAUCCGCAGUGAUUUCUAAUAUUUUAGUUGAAGGAAUCACUCUAGAGCUGGUUGUUCUAUAUGUGUGGUGUGUGUAUGACAAAAGUGUAUCAAUUACUGUUGAAAAUACCAAUAAAUAUUCUUAUUGUGUUGAUAUUUCAGUGCUGUUUUGUUGUAUUUGUAAAAGUUUUGUGUUCCCGGUGUCAUGCUAAAAAAAAUCAUGAAAACUGAUUGCCAUCUUUAAUCACUUUUUGAACUGUGUAAAACUGCAUUUUAUGGGUUUUGUUGGCCAUUUAUUUCAACAGGAAAAAAGGACUGCAUGAGCAAUAAUCUGUCAAAUAAAACCCUCAUGAAUGCAAUCAAGUCAUUUAGCUCAUGCAGUCCUUUUUACCUGUUGAAAUACCUUUAAAUGGCCAGUAAAACCCAUAAAAUGCAGUUUUACACUUGCCAAAAGGUGAUUACAGAGGGCAAUCAGUUUUUGGCAGAGAAUAAAUUUUUGGCACGACACCGGAAAUAAUUUUUUUUUUAACACUUCCGGUCCCUUCGUCCUGAUUUUAAAUGCCUGAAAUAAGGUUCUCUUUCUAACAUUCGUUCGGUAUCUUACUACAGGAACUUACUACGGAAACACUAAUGACACCACAUCUGCCAACCAUUAAGCGAUCAGGGAGUCCCGCCUCCCAGUAUUUAAACCACAGCUACCUGCUGUCUAGUCAUUCUUGCUCUCUUCCCUGUGGAAGAUUUUCGGAAGCUGUCCUCAGCAGACUUUGGGAAUUAUUGCUCAACAGUUUACCAACGAAGCCAUAGGGUAAUGUCCCAAAUGCAAUUUUUUCCCUAAAGUUUUGUUGAGUGACCGCACUUGGAGUUGGGUAACUAACUCGUUAAGGUGAGUUUUUCAGCUCUUAAGUUCUCAAAAAAAAAAAAAAAAAAAGGAAGAGCUCGCUACUCUCAGCACAGCUCCGAACAAGUUUUCACGUUGUGGUGGACUUACCGUACAAAGAGAGUGCAGUCGCUGUCAUGGCCACCUCGAAAGAGCCUGAAAACCACAGAGGGAAUGUCUGUCCUCCUCAUCCUUGCACUUGUGGAGCGUGAAUUUCGGCCAAGGAUUCUCACGGUCUCUGCAUCUCCUGCCUGGGUGCUAAACAUGCUCAGGCAGCACUAUCCAUCCCUGAGGGCUACCCUCAUUGUGUGACUUUCUCGACGAAGGGAAGUCAUCCUCGAAGACGAGGAUGAUAAUGACAAGGAUGCCAUUUCUCCCUCCGAAUCCCGUCCCAUUUGCCUAGCACGCAGGAUGUGAGCUUACCCUCCUCUGUGCAGGUGGACACAGAUCUGCUGGAGGUCUGUCGUAGGUCCGUGGCUAAGCUGUCCAUUGAUUGGCCAUCCCAACCAGCAGGGAAAAGGGAUGAUAGAGACCUCUAAGACAGGAAAAGGCUCCCGUCACGUCUCCCACCAGCAUGACAAUUUAUACCGGCAG